ACGAAGCUUCGUUAUAUGAGAACCCGAAAUUAGUAUUACAAAUACAGAAUAAGGAUUUUAUUCAUCACAUUCAUCUAGCACCUACACAUUUCCACAUCCAUCUUACUCUUAAAUAAAUUGAUGGUGUUGGAAACACUCAUCAUAUGCCAACCAUCCCACUAAACACUCAUCAUAUGCCAACCAUCCCACUAAACACUCAUCAUUCCACUAAACACUCAUUAUUCCACACACUCAUCAUUCCACUAAACACUCUUUACACCUUCUUUUGCCAGCCAUCUUCUACACCUUUAACAUCUCAACAUGCAAUUAGCUUUUAUUUAAUCAAAAUCAGCAGCCAACAUUCCUCCCAUUCCUCCUAACAUUCUGAUCCAAGCUAUACGUUCUUAUGCUUGAAUUAUAAUUCACUGAUUCUAGCUUUCCAAAUCAGUUUCCAAGAUUUCCCAAAACAAGAAAGAGAUCCAAUUUUGGUGAAUUCAGAAAGAAGAUUUUCCUCAUUUCCUACUCAUAUCAAGGUCCGGGCGACAGAAAGUGAAGCAGAAGAAGAAACGAUUCCACGCCAGCUUUAAGAACAAUUGAGGUUGAGCAGGCGAUGGAAUGGAUUGGUGUUGAGCGGAUUUCCCUUUUGAUGUUUAUGUAAUGAAACCUUGAGUAUGCAUCUCCAUAUGCAUAACUCACACGUUUUUCCGCUGCAAACACUCUGAAUUUGUUAUCGUAUUGUGGAACUUAUUACUCCUUCAUUUUGUUUAACUUUCAUUUGGGGUUUAGUCGUUAUGGCUGGCUCAUUUGUUAAUUACCCAAGUGGUUAUAUAUAUAUAUACCACUAGUUUGUUG